UCAGUCUCGACAACACAUCUCUUGGAGCUCUAGCUCACCUCUCUGGUAUUGUUCUCAUCUGAUUAAUCUAGUUCUUGCCAGUUCUUCUUCAACUUCUUGUUAGAUCUUGAGUCUGUAUUUCUGUGUCCAUGACAGUUUGUCGAGACUUCACUCACCUCAGAUAUCAGAGCUAGUUUCUUCCUCGUUAGAGUGUGGAUUA
rnacentral:lncRNA from 1 species